UACGUAGGGUGCGAGCGUUGUCCGGAAUUACUGGGCGUAAAGAGCUCGUAGGUGGUUUGUCGCGUUGUUCGUGAAAACUCACAGCUCAACUGUGGGCGUGCGGGCGAUACGGGCAGACUGGAGUACUGCAGGGGAGACUGGAAUUCCUGGUGUAGCGGUGGAAUGCGCAGAUAUCAGGAGGAACACCGGUGGCGAAGGCGGGUCUCUGGGCCGAAACUGACGCUGAGGAGCGAAAGCAUGGGUAGCAAACAGG
rnacentral:rRNA from 1 species